rnacentral:rRNA from 1 species
UACGAAGGGUGCAAGCGUUACUCGGAAUUACUGGGCGUAAAGCGUGCGUAGGCGGUUUGUUAAGUCCGCUGUGAAAGCCCUGGGCUCAACCUGGGAAUUGCAGUGGAUACUGGCAAGCUAGAGUGCGGUAGAGGAUGGUGGAAUUCCCGGUGUAGCGGUGAAAUGCGUAGAGAUCGGGAGGAACACCCGUGGCGAAGGCGGCUCACUGGCCCGGUACUGACGCUGAGGUGCGAAAGCGUGGGGAGCAAACAGGG